UCCUAGGACGAAAGCCCCCUGUUGCUGUGAACUGCUACUCACCCCAAGGUCCCACUGUGUGCCCCAAGCUGGCCUCAGACUCUCAAUUCCCUUGAGGGGUUCGGGUCACACAUCCUAUGGCUGCCGACUAAAGGUAGCUGUCAAGUCCCUCUGCUUCCUCUGCCUGCCUCUGAGAGACUUGUCUCUGGACCCUGCAGGACCACUGUGACGGCUCGGGCUUGGAACCUGACUUAGGCCACUGGGCUUUGCUGGGCCGUCCAGGACAAGGUCUGAUCACCACCGACCUCCAGAGCACAUCCAAGGACUCGCACAUGGAUCAGCCUCAUGUCGCCCCCUCCCAGGUUCAGGAGGGAGGACCAGCGUGAGAAAAGGUGCUGCAGAGAUGAUGGAGUGUGACUUCCAAGGUCACCUGCAGAGCCCUGGCUGCUUGCACUUGGCUCUCACUCCCUCUGGGGGAAGCCAGCCACAUGCUGGGAAGACACACAGCCUACUGUGUGGAGAUGUGUGGUCAGAAUCUGUGGCCUCUGCCAAUAUCCAACCCCGACCAAGUGAGGGAGUGCUGUGGGCACAGCCUUAGUCCAGCUUUCAGAGGGACUGUAGCUCAGACUGACAUCUUGACAACAACCUCCUGACAGACCACAUCAAGGCCACCCAGCUAAGCAGAGUUCCUGGCCUACAGAAUCCAAGGCAAAAUAUUGUUUCAAGCCACUAAGUUUUGGAGUUACUGUUUAUGUAAGAAUGUAUAACUAAUAUGCCAGCAAAACACUAUGUGUACCUAGAGUAAAAUUUUCAAGAUCCAUGAAA